rnacentral:ncRNA from 2 species
GGGUGGCGCGCGGGAGAGGGCGGUUCGUAAGAGCCGCCGCCGAAGGAGCAACCGCCCCGGAAUCUCUCAGGCAAAAGGACCGCGCGGCCGCA